GACGAACCGUGCGAACGUUGUUCGGAAUCACUGGGCUUAAAGGGCGCGUAGGCGGUUCAUCAAGUCCCGGGGUGAAAUACUUUCGGUCGUCAACCGGAAAACGUAGCCUUGGAUACUGGUGAACUGGAGGGAGGUAGGGCGAGAUGGAACUUCCGGUGGAGCGGUGAAAUGCGUUGAUAUCGGAAGGAACGCCGGUGGCGAAAGCGAUCU
rnacentral:rRNA from 1 species